rnacentral:snRNA from 2 species
AUUGCUUCUCAGCCUUUUGGCUAAGAUCAAGUGUAAUAAAUCUCAUUGUGCUUUAUGCCUAAUGUGUGCUUAUAUUAAACUGAUUUAUCCAUAGGAGAUAAGGUGUUAUACUCCUA